AACUCCUACGGGAGGCAGCAGUGAGGAAUAUUGGUCAAUGGACGAGAGUCUGAACCAGCCAAGUAGCGUGCAGGAUGACGGCCCUAUGGGUUGUAAACUGCUUUUAUAAGGGAAUAAAGUGAGUCUCGUGAGACUUUUUGCAUGUACCUUAUGAAUAAGGACCGGCUAAUUCCGUGCCAGCAGCCGCGGUAAUACGGAAGGUCCGGGCGUUAUCCGGAUUUAUUGGGUUUAAAGGGAGCGUAGGCCGGAGAUUAAGCGUGUUGUGAAAUGUAGAUGCUCAACAUCUGCACUGCAGCGCGAACUGGUUUCCUUGAGUACGCACAAAGUGGGCGGAAUUCGUGGUGUAGCGGUGAAAUGCUUAGAUAUCAUGAAGAACUCCGAUUGCGAAGGCAGCUCACUGGAGCGCAACUGACGCUGAAGCUCGAAAGUGCGGGUAUCGAACAGGAUUAGAUACCCUGGUAGUCCGCACGGUAAACGAUGGAUGCCCGCUGUUGGUCUGAAUAGGUCAGCGGCCAAGCGAAAGCAUUAAGCAUCCCACCCGGGG
rnacentral:rRNA from 1 species